ensembl:lncRNA
CUGGAAACAUCUUGAGAAAGCUGCAAGAACAACUCGGAGACACAAAAUCUUACGUUUUGCAUCUGGUGAUAAAGGAAAAUUGGACAAAUUGUCACAGCUUGUUACAUUUUUAGAGUCACGGUCUCGUGCAGGACAGAGGAAAAAACAAACACACGCGUCUGAUGAUUCGACAAAAACACAGGCAGGAAAUUAUGGCAUCAGUUAUGCAGGAGAGUUUGACCUGCCAGGGGAAAAAUGCGAUGAUCCAUCUAAGUGGCUGUGGCAUUCAGCUGGUGUCUAAAAAGGGCUGUCUCUCACGCACACCUGCCCUCCAUCUGUUAUCAACACAUGCUGAGGAUUCUGUUCACUUGAUGCGCUCCUUUUCCUCCUCCUCCUCCUCUUCCUCUUCCUCCUCCUCCUCUUCCUCCUCCAUACAGGGUGAGGGUCGAUCUCCUGCUCAGGCCUCUGAGCGAGAAUCUGAGAAUCUCCCCCCGAGACGCCCUCUGAAACUCGCUCCGCUAGAGCUCCCCCUAGAGUUGCAGCGGCAGAAGCUCAAAAGCGCCCAGGAGGCCAAAGACACAUAUCCGAGAAAAGUCAAAGUUUGUUGGCGGGACGGCCUGGACAAGUCGCCAGAACGCUUCCCGAUGAGUACCAUCACAGAGCCACACAAACCACUGCUACCUGUCAAUCAAGUCAAACUUGGUUCUGAUAGGCCAGUAGGGAAGGAGGUGGGGAAAAUGAAAGGUAAUUCAACCGUCUGCUCAACAAUUGCUCCCGAGAACGUCUGCCAAUCAGGGCACGGCAACAGCCAAUCAGCCGCUCCCGCUAAGAGCCAGGAUGCAGUCAAGAGGCGUCUAAGACUGCGAAGAACCCAGCGGCUGGAGGAGGAUCAAAGCAAAUCCAGCUCAUCAGCAGGUGGAUUAUCUGCUGAUGAGAGCAAACUGGCCCCAGCUGGCCCUGCCAAGGGUCAGGGCGCUGCCGAGAAGGCCCUCUUAGACGCCAGCCAUGCGCUGGAAAAGACAUCGUGGAGAAACCCGCGGGAACCCGGGACUGAGGCAGUGGGUAAAGUCGGGAGAAGGAUGGCUGUUAAUGACAUUCAGGAAGCCGUACUCUGACUCUUUGACCUGAAGAGGAAGUACAGCACAUGGUGUCAGGGUUAGAGACUUGAACAUGGCGAUAGAGUCAUGUUUACAGAGGAUUUUCCCUCUUGGGUUUAGAUGGGAAAACAGCUCAGAUGAAGCCUGCAGUAAUGUCGAAAACAGCACAACAUUCCCGAUCCGAAUAUUGGUAUAUAAGGGAAUGUGUUCUGAUUAUAAUAAAAUAAACCCAGACAGGGGCAUCAGAACAUGUACAUAAAAUUGUUCCACUACUAACUAACUAAAUAAAUAUAUAAAUAAAACCCAUCUUCUUAUAAACUAUUGUUACGAAAACAUCCAAAAUACACAAUUAAGUGUUUAUUUAAUUAUUCAGUUUAUUUAUUUAUUUGUGACUGUAGAUUUCAAUUACAGUAUAUCCCUUUAAGGCUGAGCCAGAAUGUUCAGAUUUCGGUUAUGGAAAUGAAUGCAUAUUAGUGCUUUUUCAAUUACAUAAUGCCCCAUUUAAGUAUUUUACCCUUGUGUUAUGUUCC